rnacentral:rRNA from 1 species
GAUGAACGCUGGCGGCGUGCCUAAUACAUGCAAGUCGAGCGAACGGACGAGAAUCUUGCUUCUCUGAUCUUAGCGGCGGACGGGUGAGUAACACGUGGAUCACCUACCUAUUAGCCUGGACUAACUUCGGGAAACCGGAGCUAGUACCGGAUAAUAUUUUGAACCGCAUGGUUCAAAAGUUAAAGACGGUCUUGCUGUCACUGAUAGAUGGAUCCGCGCUGCAUUAGCUAGUUGGUAAGGUAACGGCUUACCAAGGCAACGAUGCAUAGCCGCCCUGAGAGGGUGAUGGGCCACACUGGAGCUGAGACGCGGUCCAGACUCCUACGGGAGGCAGCAGUAGGGAAUCUUACGCAAUGGGCGAAAGCCUGACCGAGCAACGCGGCGUGAGUGAUGAAGGGCUGCGGAUCGUAAAGCUCUGUUAUUAGGGAAGAACAUAUGUGUAAGUAACUGAGCACAUCUUGACGGUGCCUAAGCAGAAAGCCACGGCUAACUACGU